rnacentral:misc_RNA from 1 species
UCCCGGUUAACCCGGGCAGUCUCGUUAAAGUUCCCAUCCGAAAUGCUGGCAACUAACGACAAGGGUUGCGCUCGUUGCGGGACUUAACCCAACACCUCACGGCACGAGCUGACGACAGCCAUGCAGCACCUGUGCACCGAUCCCGAAGGAAGGGCCUGUUUCCAGACCUGUCCGGUGCAUGUCAAUUCUGGGUAAGGUUCUUCGCGUUGCAUCGAAUUAAACCACAUGCUCCACUGCUUGUGCGGGUCCCCGUCAAUUCUUUUGAGUUUCACCCUUGCGAGCGUACUCCCCAGGCGGUAUACUUAACGCGUUAGCUCCGGCACAGCCGGGGUUGAGACCGGCUACACCAAGUAUACAUCGUUUACGGCUAGGACUAC